UACGUAGGGGGCGAGCGUUGUCCGGAUUUACUGGGCGUAAAGCGCGCGCAGGCGGCUAUCCAAGUCAGUGGUGAAAGCCCGGAGCUCAACUCCGGAACUGCCAUUGAAACUGUUUAGCUUGAGUAUGAGAGAGGUGAGUGGAAUUCCCAGUGUAGAGGUGAAAUUCGUAGAUAUUGGGAAGAACACCGGUGGCGAAGGCGGCUCACUGGCUCAGUACUGACGCUCAGGCGCGACAGCGUGGGGAUCAAACAGG
rnacentral:rRNA from 1 species